rnacentral:rRNA from 1 species
AGUGAACGCUGGCGGUAGGCCUAACACAUGCAAGUCGAACGGCAGCACAGGAGAGCUUGCUCUCUGGGUGGCGAGUGGCGGACGGGUGAGGAAUACAUCGGAAUCUGCCCAGUCGUGGGGGAUAACGUAGGGAAACUUACGCUAAUACCGCAUACGACCUUCGGGUGAAAGAGGGGGAUCGCAAGACCUCUCGCGAUUGGAUGAGCCGAUGUCGGAUUAGCUAGUUGGCGGGGUAAUGGCCCACCAAGGCGACGAUCCGUAGCUGGUCUGAGAGGAUGAUCAGCCACACUGGAACUGAGACACGGUCCAGACUCCUACGGGAGGCAGCAGUGGGGAAUAUUGGGCAAUGGGCGCAAGCCUGAUCCAGCCAUACCGCGUGGGUGAAGAAGGCCUUCGGGUUGUAAAGCCCUUUUGUUGGGAAAGAAAUCUUUCAGGCUAAUACCCUGGGAGGAUGACGGUACCCAAAGAAUAAGCACCGGCUAACUUCGUGC